rnacentral:rRNA from 1 species
GCAUGCCUACAAUGUAGAGUUAAUGCAUCAGAUCCCAUUAAAGUGUCGUAGUUAAGUGUGCUCGGGCUAGAGUAGUACUGGGACGGGUGACCGUCAAGGAAGUCUUAGUGUUUUACAUGCU